ACGCUCGACACCUACGGAGGCAGCAGUGGGGAAUAUUGCACAAUGGGGGAAACCCUGAUGCAGCGACGCCGCGUGAGCGAAGAAGUAUUUCGGUAUGUAAAGCUCUAUCAGCAGGGAAGAAGAAAGACGGUACCUGACUAAGAAGCCCCGGCUAACUACGUGCCAGCAGCCCGGUAAUCUGAGCGGGCUGGCAAGGC
rnacentral:rRNA from 1 species